rnacentral:tRNA from 1 species
GCGGCCGUAAUCUAGCCUGGUGGGCUUGAGGCUUCGGCUGAAAGUUCGGGCAGUAGGAUCUGAGCUUCCCAAGCUCAUUGCCCGGGUUCAAAUCCCGGCGGCCGCA